AGCGAACGCUGGCGGCAGGCCUAACACAUGCAAGUCGAACGAACUCUUCGGAGUUAGUGGCGGACGGGUGAGUAACACGUGGGAACGUGCCUUUUGGUUCGGAAUAACUCAGGGAAACUUGUGCUAAUACCGAAUGUGCCCUUCGGGGGAAAGAUUUAUCGCCAUUAGAGCGGCCCGCGUCUGAUUAGCUAGUUGGUGAGGUAACGGCUCACCAAGGCGACGAUCAGUAGCUGGUCGGAGAGGAUGACCAGCCACACUGGGACUGAGACACGGCCCAGACUCCUACGGGAGGCAGCAGUGGGGAAUCUUGCGCAAUGGGCGAAAGCCUGACGCAGCCAUGCCGCGUGAAUGAUGAAGGUCUUAGGAUUGUAAAAUUCUUUCACCGGGGACGAUAAUGACGGUACCCGGAGAAGAAGCCCCGGCUAACUUCGUG
rnacentral:rRNA from 1 species